rnacentral:rRNA from 1 species
AUACGGAGGGUCCAUGCGUUAUCCGGAUUUAUUGGGUUUAAAGGGUCCGUAGGCGGGAAAAUAAGUCAGUGGUGAAAGCCUGCAGCUCAACUGCAGAACUGCCAUUGAAACUGUUUUUCUUGAGUAUAGAUGAAGUGGGCGGAAUGUAUCAUGUAGCGGUGAAAUGCAUAGAUAUGAUACAGAACACCGAUUGCGAAGGCAGCUCACUAAACUAUUACUGACGCUGAGGGACGAAAGCGUGGGGAGCGAACAGGAUUAGAAACCCUAGUAGUCC